UACGGAGGGUGCAAGCGUUAUCCGGAUUCACUGGGUUUAAAGGGAGCGUAGGUGGCUUUGUAAGUCAGUGGUGAAAGCUCGGAGCUUAACUCCGGAACUGCCAUUGAUACUGCUUAGCUUGAAUCGGUUCGAGGCGGAUGGAAUGUGACAUGUAGCGGUGAAAUGCUUAGAUAUGUUACAGAACACCAAUUGCGAAGGCAGUUCGCCAGACCCGUAUUGACACUGAGGCUCGAAAGCGUGGGGAUCAAAC
rnacentral:rRNA from 1 species